rnacentral:rRNA from 1 species
AGCGAACGCUGGCGGUAGGCCUAACACAUGCAAGUCGAACGAACCUUUCGGGGUUAGUUGCGGACGGGUGAGGAACACGUGGGAACGUGCCUUUAGGCUCGGAAUAACUCAGGGUAACUUGUGCUAAUACCGAAUGAGCUCCUCGGGGGACAGCUUUUGCUCCUGUAGAGCGGCCCGCGUACGUUUAGCUUGUUGGGUGUGGUAAGGGCUCUCCAAGGCGACGAUCAGUAGCUGGUCUGAGAGAAUGAUCAGCCACAUUGGUACCUGGUCACGGCCCAGACUACUGCGGAAGGCAGCAAUGGGGAAUCUUGCCAAAUGGGCGAGAGCCUGACGCAGCCAGGCCGCGUGAAUGAUGAAGGUCUUAGGAUUGUAAAAUUCUUUCACCCGGGACGAUACUGACGGUACCCGAAGAAGAAGCCCCGGCUAACUUCGUG